ACUUCGUGGAGGUGGUUAUGGGGUUACACCUUCUAGAUAUGAUGCCCAAACAUAUGCCAGCAUGAGUAAUCGAGAGCUUAGAGACCGACUACAAAAUGUCGAAGGAAAAUUGCGGGAAGUGUUUGAUCUUGUGUUGGCUAAACAACAAAAUGAGGGAAAUGGUAAAGAAACUAAUACCAAUGAUGCAAUUCAAGUCUCCACAAAUAGGCCUCAGUCGCAGGGAGGCUGUAUAGAUCUCCAAAGAACUAAGAAUGGUGUAAAACAGGUUCCCAAUUCCAUUUACC